rnacentral:rRNA from 1 species
GACGAACGCUGGCGGCGUGCCUAAUACAUGCAAGUCGAGCGCAGACGGCUGGUACGUUUGCUACCCCGAUGAUCGACGAACGGGCGAGUAAGGCGGGGGUAACCUGCCUUCCUCUGGCUGACAGCUAUGGGAAACGAAUGCUAACACCUCCUAAAAACCUUAAACUCCAGUUAUCCGAUGGAAAUUAGCAAUUUCAUCACUCAGAGAUGAUGAUGCGUUGUAUUAGCUUGUUGGCGAGGUAAAGGCGCACCAAGGCGAAGAUACAGAGCGGUCCUGAGAGGGAGAUCGGGCACACUGGGACUGGGACACGGCCCAGACCCAAACGGGAGGCAGCAGUAGGGAAUCUUCAGAAAUGGACACAAGUCUGACCGAGAAACGCCGAGGGAGUGAAGAAGGUUUUCGGAUCGUAAAACGCUGUUGGUAGAGAAGAACGGUGAUGGGGGUGGAAAGGUCAUCCAUUGACGGUACCUAACCAGAAAGGAACGGCUAACUACGUG